UGCCAUUUGAAGAUAAAUGCGAUUGUCUUC
rnacentral:piRNA from 1 species